GUGCUUGCUUCGGCAGCACAUAUACUAAAAUUGGAAUAAUACAGAAAAGAUUAUCAUGGCCCCUGUGCAAGGAUAACAGCAAAUUUGUAAAGCAUUCCAUAUUUUU